rnacentral:rRNA from 1 species
AGUCGCCGCGGGAAUACGAGGGGGGCAAGCGUUGUUCGGAAUUAUUGGGCGUAAAGGGUGCGUAGGCGGCUUGACAAGUCUUGUGUGAAAUCUAUGGGCUCAACCCAUAGUCUGCACGGGAAACUGUCGGGCUUGAGAAUGGGAGAGGUGAGUGGAAUUCCCAGUGUAGAGGUGAAAUUCGUAGAGAUGUGGAGGAACACCAGUGGCGAGGGCGACUCUCUGGUCUGUAACUGACGCUGAGGUGCGAAAGCGUGGGGAGCAAACAGGAUUAGAUACCCCUGUAGUCCCUGUCUCUUAUACC